rnacentral:rRNA from 1 species
AUAACAAUCAAAACCGCAUGGUUUUGAUUUGAAAGGCGCUUUCGGGUGUCGCUGAUGGAUGGACCCGCGGUGCAUUAGCUAGUUGGUGAGGUAACGGCUCACCAAGGCCACGAUGCAUAGCCGACCUGAGAGGGUGAUCGGCCACAUUGGGACUGAGACACGGCCCAAACUCCUACGGGAGGCAGCAGUAGGGAAUCUUCGGCAAUGGACGAAAGUCUGACCGAGCAACGCCGCGUGAGUGAAGAAGGUUUUCGGAUCGUAAAACUCUGUUGUUAGAGAAGAACAAGGAUGAGAGUAACUGUUCAUCCCUUGACGGUAUCUAACCAGAAAGCCACGGCUAACUACGUGCCAGCAGCCGCGGUAAUACGUAGGUGGCAAGCGUUGUCCGGAUUUAUUGGGCGUAAAGCGAGCGCAGGCGGUUUCUUAAGUCUGAUGUGAAAGCCCCCGGCUCAACCGGGGAGGGUCAUUGGAAACUGGGAGACUUGAGUGCAGAAGAGGAGAGUGGAAUUCCAUGUGUAGCGGUGAAAUGCGUAGAUAUAUGGAGGAACACCAGUGGCGAAGGCGGCUCUCUGGUCUGUAACUGACGCUGAGGCUCGAAAGCGUGGGGAGCAAACAGGAUUAGAUACCCUGGUAGUCCACGCCGUAAACGAUGAGUGCUAAGUGUUGGAGGGUUUCCGCCCUUCAGUGCUGCAGCUAACGCAUUAAGCACUCCGCCUGGGGAGUACGACCGCAAGGUUGAAACUCAAAGGAAUUGACGGGGGCCCGCACAAGCGGUGGAGCAUGUGGUUUAAUUCGAAGCAACGCGAAGAACCUUACCAGGUCUUGACAUCCUUUGACCACUCUAGAGAUAGAGCUUCCCCUUCGGGGGCAAAGUGACAGGUGGUGCAUGGUUGUCGUCAGCUCGUGUCGUGAGAUGUUGGGUUAAGUCCCGCAACGAGCGCAACCCUUAUUGUUAGUUGCCAUCAUUCAGUUGGGCACUCUAGCAAGACUGCCGGUGACAAACCGGAGGAAGGUGGGGAUGACGUCAAAUCAUCAUGCCCCUUAUGACCUGGGCUACACACGUGCU